rnacentral:rRNA from 1 species
UGUCUUUUAAUUGGAGGCUUGUAUGAAUGGUCACACAAAAAAUAAUUUGUCUUAAUUAAAUAUAUUGAAUUUAACUUUUAAGUAAAAAGGCUUAAAUAAAUUAAAGUGACGAUAAGACCCUAUAAAACUUUAUAAUUUAUACUAAAAAAAUAUAUUAGUUAUUUAAAAUUUUUUUUGUGGAUUUUAUUUUAUUGGGGCGAUAAAAAUAAAAAUAGUAACUGUUUUUAAAAUUUAAAUGAUAAUUGUCAGUUUUAUUAAAUGAUCCUUUAUUAAAGAUUAUAAGAUUAAGUUACUUUAGGGAUAACAGCGUAAUUUUCUUUGAGAGCUCUUAUCUACAAGAAAGAUUGUGA